rnacentral:rRNA from 1 species
CCUACGGGAGGCAGCAGUGAGGAAUAUUGGUCAAUGGACGCGAGCCUGAACCAGCCAAGUAGCGUGAAGGAUGACUGCCCUACGGGUUGUAAACUUCUUUUAUAUGGGAAUAAAAUGUUCCACGUGUGGGAUUUUGUAUGUACUAUAUGAAUAAGGAUCGGCUAACUCCGUGCCAGCAGCCGCGGUAAUACGGAGGAUCCGAGCGUUAUCCGGAUUUAUUGGGUUUAAAGGGAGCGUAGGUGGGUUGUUAAGUCAGUUGUGAAAGUUUGCGGCUCAACCGUAAAAUUGCAGUUGAUACUGGCAGUCUUGAGUACAGUAGAGGUGGGCGGAAGUCGUGGUGUAGCGGUGAAAUGCUUAGAUAUCACGAAGAACUCCGAUUGCGAAGGCAGCUCACUAGACUGCAACUGACACUGAUGCUCGAAAGUGUGGGUAUCAAACAGGAUUAGAUACCCGUGUAGUC